AUGGGAAAGAAGGGAGCAUUUGAGGAGCUGGACUUAUUGAAUCAUCUAAAAAUGGCAUUUUUUCUAGAAGUCAUGCCACCACUGCAAAAUAAAUAGAAGCCAGGACUUCUGCCUAAAAGGAGUUUGAAUUGUAGCUGAAGGAAUGAAAAAUAGAAACAAGGCGAUGUGGGAACGAAACAAGAGACUUAGCCACAAAUGCAAAACAAAAGUAAAGACAUUCUCCUGUGCUUAGAAGAUCAGAGAGAGCAGCCCCAAGGUUUUCAUCAUUAGCUUCCGAAGUCUGAUAAUGCAAGCUGUAUUGCAGACAAGAGCAACCUCUCCUAUAGAACCUCAGCCUCAAACUACAUCAAAGGGAGAACACUUCACCGAAUGGAGUGACUGG
rnacentral:lncRNA from 1 species